AACUGCGAGUGAAGCGGGAAAAGCUCAAAUUUAAAAUCUGGCGGUCUUUGGCCGUUCCGAGUUGUAAUUUAGAGAAGCGUCUUCCGCGCCGGACCGUGCACAAGUCUCCUGGAAUGGAGCGUCGUAGAGGGUGAGAAUCCCGUCUUUGGCACGGACCCCCUGGUGCUUCUGUGAUGCGCUCUCAAAGAGUCGAGUUGUUUGGGAAUGCAGCUCAAAAUGGGUGGUGAACUCCAUCUAAAGCUAAAUAUUGGCGAGAGACCGAUAGCGAACAAGUACCGUGAGGGAAAGAUGAAAAGCACUUUGGAAAGAGAGUGAAACAGUACGUGAAAUUGUUGAAAGGGAAACGCUUGAAGUCAGUCGCGUCGAUCGAGACUCAGCCUCGCCUCGGCUUGGUGUACUUCUCGACCGACGGGCCAGCAUCAAUUUUGCCUCUCGGAUAAUGGCAAGGGAAAGGUGGCACCCUUGCGGGUGUGUUAUAGUCUCCUGUCGCAUGCGAGGGGUGGGAUUGAGGAACUCAGCACGCGCCUCUACGGGGUGCCGGGGCUUCGGCCC
rnacentral:rRNA from 1 species